GUAGAAAAAUCGAAUAAAAAAGGAAAGCGCCCAAGUAGAUCAUCAUUUGGAAAAACCAUAAGAAACCGUUGGUCGAAUGAAGAGCGUGAAGAAAUAUACCAACGCAGUUAUAAAUAAUUCUACAUAUCUAAAAUGUAGGACACCGACGCAAGUAAAAACAUAGAUAGAUUAUCAGCGCAAGGCUAAAUCAAGAAAAUCAAGUCCACAAAUAGAUUAAAUAAUGAAUAUGUUGACCAUAUUUAGAACUAAAUUGACUAUACUUUUUCGUAUUUUUUUAUGUUAAUACUAAUUUAUGCUAAGAAUAUUUGGAAUUUGUUAAAAAUGCAUACUAUAAAUGUAUUAAAUAACGUCAUUUAUGUAAAUUCAUAUUGUUAAUUUUACUUUAACCUAAGAUGAUUUGAAACUGCAUUCAAAA